UCAGAGGUGUUCUAGUACCAGGAUCAGAGGUGUUCUAGUACCAGGAUCAGAUAUGUUCAAGUACCAGGAUCAGAGGUGUUCUGGUACCAGGAUCAGAGGUGUUCUAGUACCAGGAUCAGAGGUGUUCCGGUACCAGGACCAGAGAAGUUAAGAUACCAGGAUCAGAGAUUUUCUAGUACCAGGAUCAGAGAUUUUCUAGUACCAGGAUCAGAGAUUUUCUAGUUCUAGGAUCAGAGGCAACAGAAACAAUGAAACCAGCCCAUCUGAUAUCAGCAGUAAUCCAUCAGGCCCAGUGGCAGCUGGCUGAGCAGACGUCCCUUCCCACAACUCCUGCUUGAUCCUGUGACGUUCCAAGGCCAGCUGGGAUGUUUAAUCCCUCCAGCGAGUUCUGGCUGGAUCCCGGGGUCGGCUCACAGCGGAGCGUUCCUGGUAAACCUCUGAAGGAAGAACAACAGGUGGAAAUACUGAAGUUUUGAAGGUGUCUCAGUGUUCGGACGUCAGCGGGACGAAGAAACUCCACUAACAUCAAAUCCCCUGGACUGACGUGACGUCCUGAUUUCACCUGAUCUCUGAAGUCUAGGAGCUGCAGCGUCAGUGGGGCGGCUAAAAAUAACUGCAGACGUCUGAUUGGCGGAAAGCACGGAGCUCCUUCUGCAUACGUAAUGAGGCGGAGGAGGCAGAGGGAUGAAUGAAAAACCAAAC